AUAAAAUGUAUUAUGUAAAGUAUGAGUGAUCCCUUCCGCUUUCUCCCUCACUGGUUUUUCUCACAAAUUCCCAAAUCAAGAGGGAGGCUAAACCCUAGCCAAAUCAGCCAUCUCUUCUCGCCGUCUCACGGCGUUCCACCAUGUUUCGUCGCGGUCUGAACCCGCCGUCUCUUCUCUCUAUCGGAAUUCGAACAGGGCUCGUUGUCGCUUUGCGAGGUCUCUGCCUCAGCUGCUGCUCGGCGAGGCUCGGGCGCCGUCCUCGGCUAGGGGCCACCGUGCUACGGCCGUGAGCCAUUGCCGGCGCUCCCCCUUGAUCUCGCUGCAGCAGCAGCAUCAUCGUUGCCGUUGCCCCUGUCCGACCGCUUCUGUCGGGAUGUCUUCGACCAGCAGCUAAGUUCAAGAUUUCUGUCUUGGUUUUUCUUUUACCGUUAGUUAAGUUUUACUUAAAAGGUUAAAGGAGUUUAGGUGCUCUACAGCUCUCGUUAUGUCAUGCUUGGUUCCUUAAUGAAAAUUUGUGGUCAGAAAAUCUGUAACACAAGAAGCUUGCUGAUGUGUUGUUACUUAAUAUUUUAUGAUUCACAAGCUGAGCAAGGGAGAGGGGUUAGCUUAAGGAGUUGUUACUGAUCUGCUUUGGUGUUCAUGAUGUGUUGUUCUAUAUGAAAGAAAUGGUGUUAUAAGGAAGGGUGAGAUUACCUUCACUGCAAGGUAUUUUGCUGCUCUUUACUUCUAUUUUGAUCCACCUCACUCUUCAACUUGCUAUUUUGUUGAGGAAAUAAUGUUGUGUGGGAGGGAGUGGAACCGAGGGGCAUAGUGUGUAUAUAUGCUUAGUUUGUAACUAAAAGCUCUGUAAAGUUGUAACUGAAAGCUCUGAUGGCCCUGGGUUAUUUGCCUUCUCUGCAGAGUGCAGGGACGUAGCCACACACAAUGUGUCCUUGUUCUGUUACACACUGCAGUGGCCUUACUCUAUUAGCCUUUGGUGCAGCCUCUAAUUUGAGUUCUCUGUUGUUAACUUUCAGGUGCACAAGCAUUAGGCUAUGGCUGAGCUCUGUAUUCGCCGGCUGCUGCAGCGAAGGGAUUGGUUGGGCUGCCUCGGAGCAGCCUUAGGUACCGGCAGGAAGGGUAGAUUUCUGCGGCUGUUGCAGAUCCUGGCUACAUGAAUUUUUUACUUCUUUCGGGAAUGGGCUGCCUACACAUGGCUUAUGGCUCCAAACAUCUCAGCCUUUCGGCCUCUCUGAGUCUGGCCGAGACGGCUCGUUAAAGAGACCGAUGAAGCCUCCUAGGAACCCUUGGUUGUAAUAGAGUAGCUCGAUUUAAAAUUCUCUCAUUUUCUUUAUUUCAACAUGUAUGUAAAACUCAAUAAUAGUUGGUGUAUUUUAUUUCAAGCAUUUGUAAUUUAUUAGCUUGAAAUUUUAUGUAUUGUUUACUCAAGAGCACAAAUAAAUUCAUCUUUCUUUCUUUAAA